CUAUGAUCCUUCAUUAAAGGAGGGGAUUCAUGGCAGCGAGUCUGGGACAUACCUUUCUCUCAGCCCAACACCUCUCUCAGGAGAUCCGGGACCUCAAGCAGGGACUUACUACAGCAGUGGAAGCAACAGCCCAGUCAAUCCAGAUAUCACAACAGCAACUGCCUCCCUGGCUGAAGUUGCACUCCAGAACAGAUAUUUUCAGGGCUGGAUACAACUAACUCAUACCAGCUUUAACCAACUGUUAUUUUCCUUUCCCGCAUGUGUAUAAACACCUGUCGACCACCGAGGACUUUGUCCAGAUGCACAAGCUGGAAAUUCCCGCUGCCUGACAGGACCCUGACUCCAGCCUUCCUUUCCCCACAUCAACCUUGACCAGCAGGAAGUAGCCAUGAUGGGAAAAUGCCACCCCCUAUCCUGUAACAUGAAAGGCUGGAAUGUUAAGAGUCCAGGUCUGCAGACGACCCUCUCCCAGUGUAAAAAAGCCUCACAAGAGAGGCCA